AACAUACUGAUUACGAAUGUUAACUGACACGGGUGAAACUUGCUUACUGCUUAUGAAAUGUUUGUCCACUCACUUAAUAUUUUGGCGGGCGUUUUGAGUUUUACCACAUGUAUUUGACUCAGUAAAGAGUUAAGUGAGCGUUAGUCAGUUUGGUUUGCAUUGUCCCUUUCGGACGAUAACGUGAGCUGUUGUAACUUAAAGUAUGAUGUUUAACUUUGUGUUUCUGGUUGCUUCAGGAUGUAAACCAACAGCUUUGUCAAAGUAAAGUGAAGUUAAACUGACGAGCGUCUGGAGUUGUGCACCACAUGAUGCAAACCAACAACGUUGUCAGAGUAAAGUUCAAAGGCAGCAAGAAAUAACGUUAUAUUUUCUCUUCACAACCAUUUCACACAUUUUUUGAAUGUGUUGUCUAAAAGUUUAAUCUUCCUACAAUGAAUGUCUUUGAUGACUUAAAGACAGAGGUUGAUGAGGAAUAAUAUCUGCUGACAUGACCAGACUUUGGUGUCCUAGAAAUCUUCAUCCCAGAAAGCACAACAAGCCUUGAUGAUUAUUUAUCUAAUACUGAGGGCACGUCAGAGUCUGAUGGGACCGCAGUGUUGAUUAGAAAUCCUCCUGAAAAAAAUCAAGCCGAGGAACGUCAUCUAGUCCAGAUGAUCGAAAACAUCCUAAAGGGCAGCCCUGGAGGCGAGAAGGUCAUAAAGGAAUACACUCACACAAAGUCUUUCGGAUGGCCAAAGAUGUGACAUGGUGAAAAUCUUGCUAGCACAUUUAACAAAGGAACAUGGAUCUUGCCCUUACCGAAGUUUGAAGGAAGAAUGUGCAAAGGGUAUUAUCUCCAUGUUCCCAUGCUUUGCUGACCCCAGGAGCAAGCUUAGUUAUGAGCAUUAUUACAAUGCAGAAGAUGGAAGUGGAUAUUUGGUGUGGAGAAUUAAAAAACUUUCCAAAAAGAAGCAUCAGAGGGACGGAUAAAACGCCCACGCAACCACAAACAGGUGCAUAAUUUGCAGAUUGAUCAAGAUUUUGGACUUCUAUUUGGUGAGGCGACCGCUGCAAAGUUGUUGGAGAAGUGGUCUACCAACAUAAAACCAAAGGUUAUUGCACAGACCCUUGGCCUCACACAGACUUGUAAGCAUCCAAAAUGCUGAAGCCACUGAAGUUGAAGAUGGUAACUAUUGUGCUAUACAAGUUAUGAAUUCAUGAAGAAUGGCUUUAGAUCUAUAGUUUCAAUUGUAGUCACAAUGUUACCCAUCAGACAUGCAUCAUUCAUAUGCAGCACAGAUUUAAGUAAAUAAUCAGAAUAAAAAUGACCGGUUUCUCUUAACAUUUCUAACUUGACCUUAGUGAUAUUGAAAUGAGGUCAUACAGUUAAACUUUAUUUACAACAUAUAAUCCAUGCUUUUGUUAUUUAG